UACGGAGGGAGCUAGCGUUGUUCGGAAUUACUGGGCGUAAAGCGCGCGUAGGCGGAUUUGUAAGUCAGGGGUGAAAUCCCGGGGCUCAACCUCGGAACUGCCUUUGAUACUGCAAAUCUCGAGUCCGGAAGAGGUGAGUGGAAUUCCUAGUGUAGAGGUGAAAUUCGUAGAUAUUAGGAAGAACACCAGUGGCGAAGGCGGCUCACUGGUCCGGUACUGACGCUGAGGUGCGAAAGCGUGGGGAGCAAACAGG
rnacentral:rRNA from 1 species